rnacentral:rRNA from 1 species
GACGAACGCUGGCGGCGUGCUUAACACAUGCGAGUCGAACGAAGAGCGAUGGAAGCUUGCUUCUAUCAAUCUUAGUGGCGAACGGGUGAGUAACGCGUAAUCAACCUGCCCUUCAGAGGGGGACAACAGUUGGAAACGACUGCUAAUACCGCAUACGAUCUAAACUAGGCAUCGAGGAUAGAUGAAAGGUGGCCUCUACAUGUAAGCUAUCACUGAAGGAGGGGAUUGCGUCUGAUUAGCUAGUUGGAGGGGUAACAGCCCACCAAGGCGAUGAUCAGUAGCCGGUCUGAGAGGAUGAACGGCCACAUUGGGACUGAGACACGGCCCAGACUCCUACGGGAGGCAGCAGUGGGGAAUCUUCCGCAAUGGACGAAAGUCUGACGGAGCAACGCCGCGUGAGUGAUGACGGCCUUCGGGUUGUAAAGCUCUGUUAAUCGGGACGAAAGGCCUUCUUGCGAAUAGUGAGAAGGAUUGACGGUACCGGAAUAGAAAGCCACGGCUAACUACGUG